rnacentral:rRNA from 1 species
CAGCAGCCGCGGUAAUACGAAGGGGGCUAGCGUUGUUCGGAUUUACUAGGCGCAAAGCGCACGUAGGCGGACUUUUAAGUCAGGGGUGAAAUCCCGGGGCUCAACCCCGGAACUGCCUUUAAUACUGGAAGUCUUGAGUAUGGUAGAGGUGAGUGGAAUUCCGAGUGUAGAGGUGAAAUUCGUAGAUAUUCGGAGGAACACCAGUGGCGAAGGCGGCUCACUGGACCAUUACUGACGCUGAGGUGCGAAAGCGUGGGGAGCAAACAGGAUUAGAUACCCGCGUAGUCCCUGUCUCUUAUAC